rnacentral:rRNA from 1 species
GUCGGGAAUUUUGGGCAAUGGGCGAAAGCCUGACCCAGCAACGCCGCGUGAAGGAUGAAGUAUUUCGGUAUGUAAACUUCGUAAGAAUGGGAAGAAACAAAUGACGGUACCAUUUGUAAGCCCCGGCUAACUACGUGCCAGCAGCCGCGGUAAUACGUAGGGGGCAAGCGUUGUUCGGAUUUACUGGGCGUAAAGGGCGCGUAGGCGGCGGAACAAGUCACUUGUGAAAUCUCUGAGCUUAACUCAGAACGGCCAAGUGAUACUGUUCUGCUAGAGUGCAGAAAGGGCAAUCGGAAUUCUUGGUGUAGCGGUGAAAUGCGUAGAUAUCAAGAGGAACACCUGAGGCGAAGGCGGGUUGCUAGGCUGACACUGACGCUGAGGCGCGAAAGCUAGGGGAGCAAACGGGAUUAGAUACCCCAGUAGUCC